UACGGGGGGGGCAAGCGUUGUUCGGAAUUACUGGGCGUAAAGGGCUCGUAGGUGGCCAACUAAGUCAGACGUGAAAUCCCUCGGCUUAACCGGGGAACUGCGUCUGAUACUGGAAGGCUUGAGUAUGGGAGAGGGAUGUAGAAUUCCAGGUGUAGCGGUGAAAUGCGUAGAUAUCUGGAGGAAUACCGGUGGCGAAGGCGGCAUCCUGGACCAUUACUGACGCUGAGGCGCGAAAGCUAGGGGAGCAAACGGGG
rnacentral:rRNA from 1 species